rnacentral:rRNA from 1 species
CCCUCGACUUCUUUCUUUCCAUCCGUCACCCCUCUCUCUGUCUCACUGGUUUUCUCCACUCCCCCAACCUUCAUGUCAGCCCCCUUCUCCUUGACCAAAAAUCCAGCCCCUUUCCACUUCUGGAGGCGUCGGCGAUGGCAUUCAAGCAGGUCUUCUGCGCCCUGCGAGAGGUCUUCCCGCAGGUUGAUCUUCGAAUAUUGAAGGCUGUAGCCAGUCAGUAUUCCUCUGAUGUUGAUGCAGCUGUUGGAUUUGUUCUUUCCGAUGUCAUUCCAGCAGUAAGCGAACCUACUGAAACAGUUUUUACACUCCAAGAUGUUGAUUAUGCAGAACACGACCAUACUGAUUCCAGGAAAUCUAACUUGCACUCUGGAGGGAUAUCAUUGGUGGAUCUAGGAGCUCGAGAGGAUACCAGUGCCCUAUUUGGUACGUCAGCUGAGAGCAGUGGCACUGUUGGUGAAUGUGAUCCGUUUUCAGAUUAUGAUGGACCAUUCCAGAGUAAGAACAAAAUAGAAAAAUGUUCCCAGAUCGAGGAUAAAGUGGUGAUAAAUGAAACAAGAAUUCCUACAACAGUAAUGAACAGCCUUCUUCAGGAGCAUUAUGCUCUGCUUGGAUCGUCAUCGACAUCUGCAGCGGAGCCACAUAUGAUGGAGUAUGAGCAGUCUGAUUCAGGAGGAUGUAAUGAUCAUUGUGCAGCUGAAAAAGAUGAAGUGACUCCAGAGACUGAAAUAGGCAACCACAAACACUGUAAUGAUAAUUAUGAGCUAUCAGAUUUGCUUGCCUCUUCUGGGAAUAUGUUGCCAUUAUUUAAGGAGAGCCCUUCAGAUUGUGCAGUGAAACAUGGAGGGCAAGUGCCUCUGAAACUUUCUGAUGAGGUAAGUAAACAUGAUUUCGACAAGUCAGAAGAUAACUGUUACUUGGAAACCUUACUUGUGAAUUUUCACUCAAAGGAAGACAAACAGACAUCAAAGAAUUUGCCAAAUGCUCCAACUGUCCAUACGCUCUCCAACCCAAAGGAUAAUAAUGACUUACAAGUUCUGUUUGAAAACAAAGAUAAUGCUGGAGAAGAGUUGGGUGCACUCUGUACUGCAGAAAAUACCCCCGAGCUCCACAAGUCAGCAAAUGAUGGCAACUUCUACAAUUUAUUUGGCGAUCUAUGCACAGUUGACGAGACAACAAAAGUACCAUUGAAUUUUACUGAGGAGAAAAAUGAGCAGUCUUUUGUUAAGCUAGACAAUCAACACAAGCUAUUUGACUUAUUUGCCUCAUCCAAAAUCGUAGAUAAUUCAUUACAACCCUUUCAAGAAAAGGGUGGUUCCGAGACAGUUCAUAAUGAGGAGCUACCUUCAAUACAUCUCAAUUUCAAUAAUCGCCGAACUUUUACUAAUAAAAGUGAGGGAUUUCUUGAUAACUCCACUCAGUCAUUUCAUAUCACUGAAAUAAACAAGAAUAUUUCUGAUAUCACUAAAAGCAAGGAAUCAUUGAGCUGUUUGUAUGAAUCAACAAUCAUGAAAAUGAAAGAGGUUGAGCUUCAGGAGGAAAAGUCUCGACUAGCAAAACAAAAUGCUGACAAGGCACAUCAAAAUUUUCUUGCCAUGGCAGAGCACUUUAACCAGCUCAUUGAGAAUUCGAAAGAGUCAAAUGAUAAGCAAGCUCAAGUAUUGUGUGGAGAAAAUUGUUCGUUGGUGGCUCUAACUCAGGACCUUCAGUCUAAGCUUACCAAAUUGGCUGCUCAAAGAAAUGAAGCGCUUACAGCUGUUCAGGAGAUUAAAUUUCAACUAGAUGCACGUCUAGCAACUUCGAUGGAGGAAGAGGCUGCAGCAAUGGAGCAAAUUAUUCAAGAAGAUAAAUUAGCUCUAUUGUUACGUAAAGAGAAGGAAGCUACAAUGGGGAGCAUAAUGGAGGAGUCAAGAAAGCUCCAAAAGGAAGCCGAAGAGAACAUUUUGCUGAGAGAACAAUUGCUGGACCAGGGUCACAUCAUUGAUAUCAUGCAGGGAGAAAUAGCAAGCAUCCAGGCCCGUGUAAGCAAGCUUAAAUCAGCCUUGGUGACGACUAGCAGCUCAGCUAAUUCUUCCCACAAGAAUGACUGCAAGAGUGCGUCAGUUGACACAGACCGGCCCUUGGGGAGCAAUGAAAACAGAGAUGAUCUGCCUCAGAGGAACCAUGCUAAGGACCAUACGACGUCUUCGGAUGAUGACGAUGACGAAUGGGAGGUGCUGGAAGCAAAUUAAGCCUAGAGUGAUUCAGUUCACUGUUCAAAUAUGUCUUGGUCAAUAAGAGGACAUCAUUUUGGCUCAUCCAAAAUUUAUGUGCCAAGCAGCAGAAUGUACAGCCCCACUAGUGCACACGGCAGAUUCAUGCACCAAACUGCUACUGUCGGAAGACUGAACCUCCAAACAAUUCAGGUGUUUGGCUCUCGUGCUUUGUAAAUAUGCAGAUGUGCCGAUGGACAUAUAUCAGUGUUUACUGUUGUAAUUAAACUUGGUUGUAAUCUAUCUAUCAUGUAAAUAAACAUGAAGUUAUGUGCCUAUGUUUGUUCGUAGUCAAGUUUAUACAUAUAUAUUGGCAAAGAAUGUGAUU